CUUAUGCUAUAAAAUAUACACUGCAGUGAGCCCAUGGGUGCUAAGGCCCAUGGACGAGAGAGAGAGAACUCAGACCAACAGCUAAGGUCCCCAAAUCUAUGUUAAGUUGAUAUAACGAGGUCCGACUGCAUUGACAGCCAGGAUGUUUGCUUGGAAGCAGCCAUUCAUUUAAAGAGUGCGUAACAGCUCACUGGUCGAGCGGUUGGGCGUGGACGAUACUCGGGCAUCAAACAUAGUACCGAAGCUUUGGAUUUAUACAGCAAUGUAUAACUGGUAGGGGAGCAUUCUAACUGCGUAGAAGAAGUUGCGUAAGCGCUAUUGGAGCGGUUAGAAAAGCAAAUGUAGGCAUAAGUAACGAUAAAAUAGGCGAGAAACCUAUUCGCCGAUAGUCUAAGGUUUCCUGAACAACGAUAAUCGGUUCAGGGUUAGUCGGGUCCUAAGGAGAACCCGAAGGGGAUAUUCGAUGGACAACUGGUUAAUAUUCCAGUACCGGCACCAUUGCGAUGGAGAGACGAAAAAACGUAAAUGCAGCGCACUGACGGAAUAGUGCGUUUAAGCCCGUAGGGUUACUCUUUGUUGGUAAAUCCGCAGAGAGUCUGAAAGGUGAAAGUACCCAGAGUCGUCAGACAAAGGGAUUGCAUCCAAGUAUGUUUCCAAGAAAAUCUUCUAAGCUUCAGAUGAGUGCCGCCCGUACCGCAAACCGACACAGGUAGACAAGUAGAAUAUACUAAGGCGCUUGAGUGAUCCGCGGUUGAGGAACUAGGCAAAUUAACCCCGUAACUUCGGGAGAAGGGGUGCCUCGCGCAAGCGAGGCCGCAGAGAAAUGGCGGUGGCGACUGUUUAACAAAAACACAGGGCUUUGCGAAAUCGAAAGAUGAAGUAUAAGGCCUGACACCUGCCCGGUGCCGGAAGGUUAAGGGGAGAGGUUAGGAGUAAUCCAAAGCUUUGAAUCGAAGCCCCGGUAAACGGCGGCCGUAACGAUAACGGUCCUAAGGUAGCGAAAUUCCUUGUCGGGUAAGUUCCGACCUGCACGAAUGGUGUAACGAUCUCCGCUCUGUCUCAACCGCGAGCUCAGUGAAAUUGUGGUAUCAGUGAAGACGCUGAUUACCCGUCACGGGACGGAAAGACCCCAUGCACCUUUACUAUAGCUUAACAUUGAUUUCGGGUAAGUGAUGUGUAGAAUAGGUAGGAGACUUUGAAGCAGUGGCGCCAGCCAUUGUGGAGUCGAAAUGUGAAAUACUACCCUUUACUUACUUGGAGUCUAACUCCUCACGGAGGACAUUGUUUGGUGGGUAGUUUGACUGGGGUGGUCGCCUCCGAAAGGGUAUCGGAGGCUUUCAAAGGUUCGCUCAGUACGCUUGGUAACCGUACGUAGAGUGCAAUAGCAUAAGCGAGCUUGACUGUAAGGCCGACAAGCCGAACAGGCGCGAAAGCAGGAUAAAGUGAUCCGGCGGUUCCGUAUGGAAGGGCCGUCGCUCAUAGGAUAAAAGGUACGCUUGGGAUAACAGGCUGAUCCCUCU
rnacentral:rRNA from 1 species